GGCAGGCCGCCUUCCUCCUUCUCCUCCUCCUCCUCUUCUUCUUCCUCUUCUUCUUCCUCCUCCUUCUCCUUCUUCUCCUUCUCCUGCCCGCGGGCAGCCCGGCUCUCGCACGCCGCCCCCCGGCAGCUCGCCGCCCCCCUCAGCGGAACGGCCACGAAAGCCGUCGCGGGGUUUUUUGUUUAUAUUUUUUAUUCUCCCCUCCUUAUUUUUAUUUUUAUUUUUUUAUUUUUUUCCCGAAUACAAACUGCCUACGUGUCGGUUUGGGGACUUUUGAUGCUGGUGGUGAUUUGUUGGAGUAUGACACACAGACAUGAGAGCCCCUGUGUAAGGCCUUUGGCCUCAUAAAAGCACAUAGUGUCCCUGUAAGUGCCCCCCAAGGGCUAUAUAAACACCUCUUUCCUUAUUUUUUGCCUCUAGGAGUUAGUAAAUGCUUUCCAGGUACAUCCCCUAGCCAAGGUGGCCAGCACCAUCACCCACAUGGCAGCACGAAAGGUCAGAGAAAGAGGACAUCCACUUCUCAGAAUAUCCAGCUGCUUUCUGUGAAGGGGUAAAUCACAGCUCAGUGAUUGAAUUACCGGUGGCACUGGAAUGGUUUUCUGCCAGCACAAAACAGAGGAGCCAAUUGCAUCAGAGGUGCCAAAAGGUCCGUUAACAUUAUUGCUGUCUAUUAUUUCCAAGUUUCUGAAUGCUUAAUUCACUACCAGUUCCUGGCUCUCACCAACUUUAAGCAAGAAUGAUGUGUCCCAUUGCCUUAAACUGUUGCAAAUUCUCCCCUGUAUCUCACAUUACACCUGUUGUUCUGGAUGUAUAAUUAUUCCUGACCAUGCUUGUCAAAAACAAAGUGAUGCUCUUAAAGGUUUGGAGAUCAGCAAAGAAACGUCCUGAUUUCCUGUGUUCCUGUUUAUAAAGUUAUUUAAGUGGAAACGCAUGUAUUAUGAACAUUAAAAAAAAUGAACAUGGUGUUUGGAUUCAAAUAACACAGCAUUGCUGUAAUGUAUACUGUCAACUCUGUUACCUACAGUAAUGGGGGAUAGUGGAUUUAUCUGGAUAAACCAAAAAACAGAGUUAACAAAGCAUUUAUGAAGGAAGCUGUAAGAAUCCAUAUUGAGAAUAAUAAAGGAAGAAAAAAAAACGAAACAGGUUGGUGGCACUGUUGACUGUCAAUGCAAAAAUCCCUUAAGAAAUACUGACCAGGAAUAAGACAUCCAUAUGGCACACCAACACAGGAGUACUGCUACAUUGCCUCCAGAGCCGAACCCUCCUAUGCAGAACCAGACCUGUGAGCCUCUCUACCAAAGGCAUGGCUAAUCCACAACUCAAUGAGAUUUAAUAAUACUUAGAAAACAAAACAUCAACUAUCUGCCAUCAUUUCUGGUACAGCAAUUACAAAAUUGCAGUCACUGGAUUUCUUCUACUCUACUGAUUUGUUUAUUUGCUGACAUUCAUGCUCAUCCCUGCUGAACUUAAAUGCCUGUACGAUCAUCAAACAAGGUAUGAUAAACAGCAAAGUAAAGGUAUGGCCUUAAUCUUCAUCAUGUAACUAGUAAUUUGGUACUCUCUCAAGUCAGGAAUGGACAACUUUCACCACACACGAGAGUCUCUGAGCAAGAAUGGGAAAGGCUCCCUUUGGCAGGACUAGAUGACAGCUCUGGUACGAGCUAUAUUUUCUGAGAUACUGGGCUUUAUGUAGUUUUUGCUGUACAAAACCCAGGCAAAGUAUUAACAUCCAACCCUUUGGUCUUUUCAGUUCAUACUUAAUGACCUCCUGAAUUCCUCAGAGAUCCAGGUGGUAUCCACACACAGACUAAAUCUGCAAAGAGCUCUCCUCUUGCUCUGUUGGCUUUGCUUUCACUUUUGACAACUGAAAAUAUAAUGAGUCGGAUAAUUGUCAGAUGACUACCUUGGAACAGCCAUGAUGAGGCUGAAUCUAUGACUCACAAAAAGCUUUCCAGGUCCCCAUAAAGCACAGAAGAGAUAACCCACUUUCAUGUUACAGUCAAACCACAAGCUAAUCCAAUUAAAGAGUGUACAUAGGAAUGCAGAAUACGCCACCUUAGCAAACCACCGGCCCAUCAGGGCUCAUAUCUUGCUUCUUGCAGAGUUUAGUGCUUAACACUUCAGUGGAAAAUAAAUAUAAGGCAUAAAAUCUCUUGCUAUUACUGCUGUGCUCUCCGUGACAGAGCAAAUAGUCUUGCUGACCCCUGCAGGGAGCAAAUAGUGUCCCGAGGCAUAAAAGCUGCUCGCCCUUUUCUUCAUUUAUAUAGCAGUGCACUUCAUUACCACACAGAGAAUAACCAAGCCUCUUUAAAAAGCUGUCCUUUGAAUUACAGCGAUGGUGGUUGCUUGUCUCAGUGAAUUCAAAAAACUCAUCACACUCUGGGUGCUUGGCAAAUAAGCGUUUGUUUAAAGAGAUAGGACAGAAAGAAAAGCAAAGCUCUGAGCACUCCGACACUUGCCAAAGCUGUGACUUGGAGCCACUCUGAGAUUUCGUGGGUAUUUUUUAACCACCUGGAAGACAGUAUUUGUAAUGUCAUGUUGAUUUGGACAGCCAGCCCUGGAAAACGAAGGCUUCUGUUUUGUUGCAGCAAUACAGCACGAUCAGCGCGCUGAGCACCACUGCACGCUUCCCGUCAUUUACUGCCAGCUAUCCACGCCCCCUGUGGGACUGGUGGCACCUGCAAGGAGGCCAGCAGGACGGAUUUAUCCAGACCUAAACCAAUGACACCCAUUAGCCAGGGAAGAUUCCUUCCAGACUGGCAUCACAGUAGUGACCUGGAGACACAAAAUACAGGUUGCCAAAGUGGUGGGACUAAGCAGUAGGACUAAUCCUUAUAUUCCCCCAGUAAUUUCUCCAAAGUCACCACUGUUUAAAAAUAAAAGGGGAAAUGGAUUUUGAACUUAAUGAAGGGGUGUGUUGCUGUCUGAAUGAACCAGACAGGAAUUGUUCACCAACCUAUUCCUUCUCAGAGAUACUAAAUUUCCCUGUUUAAACACUGAGCACUUGUAUGAAGACUUUCAGCACAUUUUAAAAGGCAAGUUAUACAGCUACUCUUCAUUUUUGGGGUAGGGAUUCCACCUCACUAUACCCACUCACACUGGCAAAACUAGCAUCGAUGCAAAAUCAGAACUAAACAGAAAUGCUACUCAAGGAGAAAAAGAAGCAGAAAGAUAAAACCGCAACCAAACAGGUCCGAAGCACUUAAAAUUAAGAUGCUGUAGGCUGGCUCCCAACCCGAUAUACAUCAGCAGGACGCAAUGCAAGUCGGUUUACUCAGGGAUCCGGUCUUGGGCACAGUCAGGUCACCGCAGGGCUUGGUCCUGAUGCAAUUUACAAGUAAAUAAAGACACGAACCGCUAGAGGGAGGCAAAAGACUUGCAGUAUGGCAUCUGCUCUAGCCUCCCGGGCAAAGCUCCCCGGGGCUUUCCUUGUCACUGGAUUCAAAUACAAAUACAUCAGGGAGUGAAAUGACAGUGAGUAUUUUCAGCAGCAUUUCCAAGAACUCCUUUUACUAAGGAACGUGCGUGUUACAGAGGGAUGUUGCCCUCCAGGUCUGUAGGAAUGAGGGACAGUGUACUUAGGGGAGAGGAAGGACAAAGGACAUUUGUGUUGGUGCUCUACAAGGAUGGCUAAAAAGAAACAAGAUUGUAAUGGAAACCAACAUUGUUAGCAGAUGCACAUAACUUUGGGGAUUCACAGGAAUGAAGAGCAUCUCCUCCAGUUUCAGUCCUUCUUUUUCAUCCAACUUGGUUCUAUUGAUGGCUAUUCAGUUAUGGCUACUGAAGGUCUGAUGCAUCUCAGUUCCUUUAGGGUGGACCACAGAGGUGGAAGAAUUAGCAGACCAAAUGAAAUUAUGUUCCUGUCCGUUCGAGGUCUCCCAGGAACAGGAAAAACUCAAGUGAAAAUCAGGUGCUCACACAGAACAGCAUCAGCCUGUCUUACAACUCUCUCCCUACUCUUGCUGCAGAAAUGUUAGUGCUUCUGCCUUGGAACACAACUUUAAAGCGACAAUCACAACAGUGGAGAUGAGGCUACAAAGAUGUGAAAGGUUAUUGAAAAAGGCAACAGAUUGAGCACAUCAAAGCGCUGAAUGACAGCAAGCUGCUUUUGAUAGCAUCUCUUUCACCAUCACAUUUGCUGUGGAUUGGGGCUUCAAAGGGAAAUUUUCAUGAGACCCUCUGGUGUCUGCACAAAAAGCCGUGACUGCAAAGGGAAGAAGUGACGCCUUCCAUGAGAGACCCAAGGGUGUUGCUGAACCACAUACACAAAACACCACGGGUUAGAAAACUCAGUGCUCCCACACCUUCUCUGGAGUCUUCCUAGCUGCAAUCCUGCAGAAUCGGUCGCUAUUGCACAUGUACCCUUUCGUCAGCCCCAAGUACUUCCAAAUGUUUUCAUGCAGAGCACAUCUCAUCGAUGUGUUUAAGGGUUGACCCCAGAUCCUGCUCAUCAUGACUCAAUGUUUUCUUUCCUUGACCAUUUUCUGGUUCUCCUACUUCUUCUUAACAGCUGCAGUGCCUUUUAUUAUUAUUAUUUCAUUAAAAAGAGGGAUUUUUUCCUGCAACCUUUGUCUUCAGAGCAGCUGAUGUGCAGAGGGCAACAUGUGUUUAGAAACUUGACCUCUAAGGAACAAUGGAGAUUUUUGCUUAGGAAUGCUAUUCAGACCAUUGUCCUACUUCUCUCAGGUCCCCAGUGUUUCUUCUUCCCCUCAGAAAUGUGCUCUGUUAAUGCCUAGCAAGUCCCUCUCCACUGGUAUGGCUCUCCCCAGACUGGGAGGCAGAAAGGAAAUGGGGACAAUCUGGAUUUCAUUUCAGACAAGUUGAAGACAAUGAAAAUAUUUAAUUUCAGUGGUCUGCAGAGCAGGCCCUGCGGUCGCUAAAUGAGCUUUUCCUUGUUCCCAGCUGCUUUCCUGGAAAAUCAGCCCCAUUGCCUACAGAGAGAGAAAAGUAAAAAGAUGCCCCAGCAACAAAAUGCCCAACAGUGGCUGGCCUGAAGCCAGCCAGCAGAGACCCAGCGUCCCAGCAGAAAGGAACAGGGCUUUGAGCAUUAGCGACACCCAGGAGCAGCCAGGCCUGUGCACUAAGCCCCCACUCUUCAUAAUAACUAAUUGCAGCUGCCUUUUUUGCCUUUUUCUCCCCAGUCUGUGUAGAUGCUGGAGGAAACGAGGCAUUGGUAUGUGCAUGGAGUCAGUCACAAAUAAACAGGCCUGCAAACGCCGAAUCUCUAUUCUUGAAGACCUCAAAAAACUCCACUCAAGCUCCCUAUUCCCCCAGCAAAGAACAAACAGAGAAAUCCAACCCAACGUGUGUCACCUCAAUCCAGCAGAAUGCUGCCAUCUCCAGCUCCCAGCACUCAUAAGAUAAUUUGAUUUUUUUUUUUUGUGGCAUGGUGCUCUACUUCAACUGUGGUGUUUAAGGAAAAAAAAAAGUAAAUUUAAAUCUUAGAAAAAUGCUGUUGAGUCAGAUGUUCCCAGUGGGACUGGCACCAGUUCCAGGAUGAUCUCACUCUGCCCAAAGUAUCUUUUUUUCAGGAGCUCUCACUUGUCUUCCCCUCACAGUGAAGAAUCUGACUUACAGGUUAUAAUCAUGACCACUGAAGUCCCACAACAGUCCCAGGAAGGGUCGUUUGGAUGAGACCUUUAUUGUAUGUGGCCCCUGUCUCCACCUGCUCAAGGAUUCUUGUCAUUCAUUCUCAGCAAAUGAAUAGCCCAAGCAGAAGGAACUACUUCCCCUCCUCUUCUCAUUGCUUUCAGCUCUCAACCCUUUUAACCUGUUUGUUGUUUUUUUUUUAGGGUUUCUGUUUGUUAUUUUUUUUGUUCUUUCUCCCCCCCAGUUAUCUGAGAAAGCACAAGGAGCCAUCGCAGCGUGAUUCACCCUAAUCACAGAGCAUUACUGAAGAGAUGCUAUGAAACAGCGUGAAACUGGCUGUAGGAUGAUUCCAACGAGAUUCUUGCACCUGCACUGUCCAUCCACGCAGCAAUACAAGUUGUUUCCACCGGUGUCCCUGGAAGAACUCUGUCACACCAGCUGGGAUUGUACUCAGCGGGUGGCAGCUCUCCAAGAACAGAAAGCACAGCAGGAACUUCGCAAGGUGUUACUUCUGCAGGGAGAGGAAUUUGGGCUGGGAGAGAACCAUAAAACUGUGCCGUUAACUAUUCCAGCAGGAUAUGUUAUCUUCCCUUCUGGUCCUGCAGAAUUAUGUACCACGAGGGAGCUGCCAGCCUUCGUCUCCGUGAUAAAUGGUUUAAACUCCAUGUACAGCCACAGAACUGUUCAUUAUACGCUUUUGCAGAGCUAGAAUUUGUCUGUGGGCCCCAUGACCAAGUCAAAUGAUGAUGUCCCAUGUGGAAACCAUACUGAAAUCACUGGAAUAACUUACUGUAUCAGAUCUGCACUUUGUCAAACACUAGGAUGCUCUGAGAUUAAACAUGUUAUUGGGAAGAAUUAGCUAAUGCUGGUGAUAGCUUAGACAGCAUCUCAAAAGAGCAUAAAGAAAUAAAAUCACCCUUAACUUGAAACUCUAUUAUAUUCUCCUUUAUUUCUUAAAUGUUAGGAGAGUUACACAACAAUGAUAAAUGGCAGAAGUUAAGUAACAGUAAUAAUGGAAAUUAAUUCUGAGGCAAUAAAGAAUGAAACAAAUUCUAUGGACCGAGUCUUCCUCUCAGUCUUGAGAGGAAGCAUUGUGCACACAAAGCAGAAGGGAAGGGGCUCUAUUUCUACCCUGUUAUGCCAGUGGCCUUCUGUAUCUCUUCUGGCAAACCAGUAUCACAUUUUGUGACUGUUUCCUCACUUCUACUCCCCCCUGCUUCUCAGUCAUAGGCUCUUUAUCUUCACCGAGUACCAGAAAUACAAAAUUGCACUGGAGCUUCCUCUAUUUGUAUCAGCCAAAUAAACUCAAAGGGCUCAUGUGCAGCAGCACUUUGUAUCACAAACAUGGUUUAGAACAAAUCUGCUGAGUGCCCCCACUUAGCACUCGUUGGUUUGUGUUAUGAACCAGCCUUAAAUGCACGAGCUGCGUUUAUUUCAAAGGAAAUUAAACUGAAAAAGCAUUUUCCAGCUACAGUGUCUUCAGUCCAGAGGAUGAGACUGGCUGAAGUCAAAAGCAGCCUUCCCCACCUGAAACGCACAGGGUGCGGGUGUCAGGUUCUCCGAACUGCUGCUCUACUCUCAGGCCUUUUCCUACGGGGCUGCUGUACAUAGAGCCUGACACAGUGACUGGGAUCACAGUGGAGGGAACACCACUUGCUUCCCUCGGUGAAGUCACGUAUGGCGCUGCUGCGGGCACCCUGGGCACUGCACCUACCUGUCCCACCUGUAGGGUAUCCCAUGGCACUUGGAAGUUUCCCAUUUACAAGAACAUUCCCCCUUUAAACCACCACUUUGAAUUACUAAGAGGCAGGUGUAUAAUUAAUUUUACCUUAAAAAAAAUCAUGGUUUACAUAAUCCCUAUUCUUUAAGCAUUUGUACAGUGACUGUUCAGCUACACAAAUGCAUGAGCUUCCAUUCCAAUUAAACUCCCUAACUCUUCAAUUAAAACCUCAUCGGCUCAUGGAAAGCAAUAUUUUUCCCCAGACUCUCCAGAAUGGGCUCUCCACACUUCUGUUCAUUUUUCCAAGUCACUGGUCCCAUGCAGGUGCUUUACUCUUUCAUCUGUACUCAUUUUCCUUCCUCCAGAUAAGCAUCCCUUCUAUUUACGUCCAAUUAAGAUCAUGGCAAUGUCAUCUUCGCUAAGCUAAGCCUACAAUUUGCAUACAUGAACUCUCUCCUGCAAAUUACCAUACAAUGAUAAAAGAGGGAAAGAAUAUUAUUAUAGGUUAUAGCUUUCUUACAGUGAUUAAAAACCAUAUUUUGUUGCUUAUGAACAAAGUUCAUAGAAGACAAAUUGAGUAGCAAAGCCAAAACAAACACGAACGCUGGUGUGAAAAAAACACCUGCACUGCAGUUUUCCUAUCUAGAUAUAGGAAAUCAUAAGAAAACCAUAACAAUUUAACUGCUCCAAAUACAAAAACACAAGGCUCAAAAAAUAUCAAUUCCCAAAACUGAAAUAAAACCUAAAAUAAAGGACCAUUUUCUUUAUGAAGAAAGCUUUUUGAAAUUUCUUCCUUCAAAGAACUGAGUCAGUCUGAGCCCAGCUGGCAUUUAGCACAACCCCUUCUAAGGUCACUGCUGUACACCCUUGCCUUGUUCCACAACAAGGGCUUACAGUGCCUAAAAUUCAAAAACCCUACAAGAGACUUUCGACUCUCUGCCUUCACUGAGCCAGAGAAGUAAUUGGUAUUAAAAAAAAAAAGGAAGAAAAAGAAAGAAAUAUUAGGGGUUAACAAAGCCUGCCAAGAGCCUGCAAAGCGACAGGGAAAGAUGUUCAUCAAGAUGCAACAUUCCACGAGUACAGUGGAACACUACUUUGAAUAACUCAGGUAAAACACCUUUAUCAUUCUCAAAGGACUAUACAAAUAUUUAAACGUUGUUUCUCCAUGAGAGGCACGUUAACGUCCCAUAUUAGAGAGAGAAAGGUUGAGAUGAGAGAUGGGAGAGAGAAAACCAACCCGUCUACAAUCACACUGCGUCUCCGGCAGAGUGGGAACAGAAAAGAGCCCUGUCCCUAGUCUAGUGGUUAAUUGCAAGUCCAGCCUUCUAAUUUUCAUGUGCAAGAUCACAAAAUCAUUUAGGUUGCAGAGCACCUCCAGGAUCAUCAAGUUCAACCAUCAGCCUGACCUACCGAGUCCCAUCACCAAAACGUGUCCCUUAGUGCAUGCAGGGCUUCCUUGCACAAGAGUUUACCCAAGACUGCUGUGCUGCUCCAAGAUAAAAGUCAAAUAAAAUGCCAAAUGCACACUGAUGGGGAGGCUUCCUCUACCUUACAAGCUCUUCACUUCUAAGGCAGAACCAUCCUUUACAGCUGAUUUCUUCUCUCAGUGACCUCCCCUGUGUACAGCCUCCUUUAGAAGGUUCUGACACUAGAUCAGCCACACAAACUUCAUGCCAAUGCCAACCACUGGCAGAAUACAAAGUGCACAUGUAAAAAAAACAACUCUGCAGUUGAGCGUUCGGUUUUCUCUGUCUUUUUUUUCAGCAGUUUGAAAACACACAAGUGGUUAUCCAGCAGUCAUGCCUGGAUCUCUUUCAGCCAGAAUUUUAACUUAGUAAAUUACACGCUAGAUGUGGCAGGCUGCUUUUGAAAACCACUGUUAUGAUCCUCAGCCCAAUCACACAACAUGUGCCUCUCCUGAAGAAAAAAUGGCCGUAAUCUCAGAUUGGUCUCCUAUUUUGGUCAGUCUAGGAUUAUCCUGGCACAUACGACCAUUACCCAAAUUCGAGCUUUUGAUCAAAGCAAGGAUGAACUCAUAAAGCCCUUCCUAGUGCUUGUUUCAGAGAACAUAUUAAUUUCUCUCCCCUUAAGCUAUUUUGCAGCCUAGAAGUCAAAUAAAAUAUUUAAAUGCCUCCGGAGUUUAUGAGUAACCCCACUUUGAGCUGGUGUCUCUGUGAGCUAUGCUAAGCAAUUUGAACUGGCAAGUAAAGAUCUCCAACCUUUGACUCACAGACAUGAAAGGGAGGGAGAAAGACAUUAAUGGCAAUUACUUGAGACUGUGCCACCCUGAUGGAAUAACCAGCGCAGCCUUACGCACCUGCAGGAAUGCAGCUUGGGUUUCAGUCAGGUCCAGCCAAAGGCAACCUCAGAAUGGCUGUCUGCUCCGGGGGAAGGGCAGGCAAACAGGGACCUGGGCCGACUCCGUGCCCUCCUCGCCACCAGUCGUGGGUCUGCCCACCCUGAGCACCUCCAUACAGGUGUGUCUUAAGUGAAGGGAGAGGCAGAACUCACAGAAAUUGUCUAGAGAACAGCAGGAGGGCUGUGCAAACUGUAAGAAGACAAGGAACUGCACAGCUGUAGCACAGGCUCACCUCCACUUGUACUAUUUUCAUAUUAUUAAGAUUCUGUAAUAUUUGAAGGCAUUAAAAGUAAGGGUCCCCAAUAUAUUUGCCCUUUAAAAUAGUCCUCACUAGCAGAGAGAAGUGGGAACGUCUAUAAAGAUUGACACGGUCCAUCUCCCACCCCUGUAAAGUGUGUGCACAGAAGUACUCACAUCCUAGCUUCUGAAUAGACAUUAUAGCCCUUCUGCUAUGUAGGAAGCCUCGCCCACACUUUUGGCAGAGCUAGGGGGCUAAGCUCAGCUUCAGUGUAAGUAGCUGCAACUCGGCAGCACCACACUCCUUUGCUGGUGAUGAGGUAGCUGUGAUCCAAGGAAAGACCUCAGUGUUCCCCAUCCCCAGGGAGAAAUCCUUGCUGGGAUACCAGCUGCAAGCAGAGCACUGCUUCAAGUCCAAAACCACACCUCACCCUCACAGCAGCUCCACACAAGCUCCUCUUCACACUUCCACCACUCGCAACGUCCUGGAGACCCCACCCCAGUUCCAUUCACUCACCGAGCCCACACGCAAUCCCUUCCUCUGCCAUUCCCUUCAGACUACCAAAGAGGAGGCUGGCAAUCCUUGGCCACCUACACCCUUACACAGGAACACGAGCCACUGCCAUCAUGCCCACAAAGGCAGGAAACACCUUAUUUUCAUCUGUGCCCCAGUUUGGGAACGGUGCUGCAGCAUAUCCCAAGCAGUCAGAGUAGCUGUGUAGAGUGGUUAAUAUUUUCUGGUGUUCCUGAUGCUUUACCUUGCUUGGAUUUUAACACUAAAUUAUUCACUUGCAAAUUUUCGGACAUCCCACCUGCUCACAUGUGGAGCUCCCCUUUGAGCCCACAGCCCCACUAUCUCAGGCAUCUGCUCCCCAAAACGAUGGCAAAACUCACAAGAAUGGACUCUUAUCCCUCCUCAGCUCCCCUUUGGGGACUGUGGCCCAUGAACGUGCCUGACGGGCUAUGGUGGAAUGUGUUGUUACUCUUGUUCCUCACGGUCGGCUCGUGGGAAGCCGUUCUUUUUAUCGGUCUGUCUACCUGUGCUGUGAUCAUACCUUCGGUUUGAUGUGCACACAAGCUCUGUGUGGGCAGGAUCCACCCCAGGACUGCAGGAAAAUCACACUCCAGAUUCCACACAGGAGUUUAGCCCUCUCCAUAUCAUUUCUGGAUCUGAUCUAACUGACACCGGCAUUACAGCACUGUAACUCCAUCAGCUUCAGCUGAAAGUGUCUGCUCGUGCCAAAUUUGAUUUGGUUUGCACUGAAACAAAAACAAAUCAACAAACAAGCUUAGAGUGAGAAAUACAAAAUUAGGCUUCUAGAGCUCUUUGGAGCUGAUCCCAACACUACCUUGGUGGCAAGAAACUAGAUCUGUGUGUCUCCCUUUCCCCUGUAAAAUGAGGAUAUUGACAUUUCCCCAUUCGUAAAUUGAGGUAUUUACAUUGUCGUUUGUGAAGGGCUGAAUUAGUCUCUCUUUAUUUC